CUUCCAUGAUGUGGGCACUUUCUUAACAUUGUCUUGAAUAGUUGCCAUGCCUCGUACAGGGACUCACCUUGUAUUGUUUGAAAUUUGUAAUUUCUUAUCGGAGCUA
rfam:Gossypium arboreum cultivar AKA8401 contig_22772_1, whole genome shotgun sequence.